rnacentral:tRNA from 1 species
GCCGCGGUCGCAUAACCUGGUAGUGCGCAAGCUUGGAGAGCUUGUUCCCGCAAGGGUAUCAGGGUUCAAAUCCCUGCCGCGGCG